CACCAGACAACUAUCUGAUUUAAUUUAAUUUGAGACUUGAAGCAAGUAACUCAAUAUUACCUAUGUCAGUUUGGUGACGCUAUGUGUUUUAGUUUGUGGCCACUCAAGAGAUAGUGCUUGUGUGCGGAUUAAGGCAUGACUGAGUGGGGAAGAGGAGAACAAACAGACGUGUACUUGAUAAAUCCACAUAUUUCUUCCAAUUUCAGCAUGAUCUCAGUUUUUUCCAUGGUUUUUGGAGUGUCUCACUUACCUACUCAAUGUCAGUUUGGUGAUGCUGUUUUCCAUCAAAACUUUUGGUGAAAUUUGCAAGGAAUAUCACUCUCCGAGAAAAAGUUGGGAAACUGCUGUGCCAUUCACUGGAGCACCACUAGGUAGGCGUACUGCAAUAGAGGGCUAUUGCAGUAAAGUUGAGUUUUCAAGCAAUCUUUGGGCCGAUUUCACAGGCUUCAGCUUCUUUUGAAGCUGAAAGUAUGCCUGACAAGUCUCUUUCCUCAGAAUUAGUUCAUCACUCUUUCUCCAGAAGAUACCAAAGAGGGCGCUUCUCUACACAGAUGUACCUUGCUUGAAUGCAAUUUUAAUUUAAUCACUCACUCCUAACUUUUGUCACCAAGAAACUUUAUGUAUAGCUGAUUUCAUAAUAAAAAUGGCUCUUAAGAUUACAA